UGUUUCAGGGAGGGGGAGGAGUCUGGUUUUUUUUUCUCUGGAGCAGGUCGUGUAGUUGAGAUAUUCAAAAUGUUGAAGCAAUUCCUUAAAGCAGAUAGGCAGACGUUAUUUUCUCUGGUAUUCUAUGAAUGAAACAAUUGAUCAGCAGAGUUGGGGUCAUUGGUGUCAUGCUAAUGGAACUGUUGUCAGGCUUUGGUGCUAUAAAUUGUCCAUGUACCUACAUGUCAUACUUUCUGAGGCAGUCUGAAGGAUAGGGCCUUUCUCCAAAAUCAAGUCUCCAGAAGUGGAAAUCCUGUUAAAUCAGAACAACUAGCAAGUCAGAGGUUGACAACUCUCGUGCUUAGCAACACCGCUGUGAAAACUGUGGCUCCUCCCAGGAGGACACCCAACACCCAGUGGACCAACA